UCUAGCCACUGAUCCGCCAUUUUUUCGUGGAUUCGAGCCAAGAUUCAAUUCGAGGAGGAAACUUUGGUGUUCUGGAUAUUCGAUUUCCCAGUUAUGCCUAGGAUGUGGAAAAUUAUCGAUCGAAUUUGCCAUAGAAUGUUUAUAGAACAUAAUGGGUUAUGGAACAAUAUUACUUUUCUCAAUUCUUCUAUCUAGCAUUUCGAAAGAUUUGAGAAAUUUGUAAUUUCAUCGUCCUAUUUUUAACUUUACUUAGAAAGAAUAUUCGAUAUCAAAUGCAAUAAAUCAAUUGAUGUUAUACCUACCUAAUUCAAAUUCAGAAAUUAAUCGAGAGAAUUAUUUUGAUGUUUAUGGAGGAGAGAUCGUCGAUGAUGGAAUAUUUAUUUCACCGUGGUGGUGAAACACGUGAUUAUUGAAUAUUAAGAUUAAUGAUACUAUCGGAUAUAAUCAGCAAUACCUAAAUGCCCGUCCAGUAAACGUCAUAACUAAUUAAUACUCAGCCAUAAAUAUUUGAUUAAUGCGGUUGACAAUUACGAAGAAAGAAGAGAAAGAAGUGUUAUGUAAAUUUGUUUUAAUUAACAGAACACUCCAGGGAGAUUAAAGAACACUAUAUAAGAGUGAAGGGCAAAAUAGAAAAUUGAACGAAGAGAAGGAUUUAACGUCGUGCCAUGUAUUUUCCAUUUAUACGUUUACUCGAUAAAGUUGAAACUGCACGACAGACAUAUGAUGAAAAUGCGAUUUGAAAUUGUUCAAAUGUGUGCGUGUUCGAAAUAGAAUAAACAAAAACUAAAACUUGUUUAAAGAAUAAAAAUUAUUUAUUCGGUUCGAUUAAGAAUACUAUUUGUCAUAUCAAAUUAUUUUUACAAAAUAUUUAUUUUAGAGAUAACAUUUGUUAUAUUAAAAAAAAAAAAAUUGAAUUCACAACCAGCAUCUCUUUUUAUUCGCAAGAUAAUUGCUCUAAUCAUGUUUUAUUUUUAUUUAAAAUUUUUUUAUUUACACGU